AGCUGUUUGGAAAUACAUGGCUGAAAUUAGAACAUCCAGUUGCUCUGCAGCGCUAUGCAUCUCUUCCUCACAAGUUUCGGGAGCGGGUGCAACGUUUCACAUCCCAGCCAUGCCCUGCUGAAUGUCAGCAUCAAUACCACAUUCAAAGCGAAUUUUCCGUCACGUGCUGGGGCACUAUAGCUGUGAAUAUUACAACACACAAACACACAGGCCUGCCUGCCUCCAAUAUUAGGCUUACAUCUUUACGUGAAAUUUGUCUUUUUACGUGAAAUCCAGCAGGCAUCAGUAACCAUUGUGACGCUCUAAGGCAGAUGCAAGAAGAAAAAAAAAAAAUGCAAUUCCCUACCAAAUUAUAAUCAUGAAAAGAGAAAGUUCCCGGGAUGGCAUCCCUCGUGUUACAGAGCACUUGUCCAUGAUCUUCACCUCUCAGACCGUCGGCUGUCAGUGGCGCGGUGGUUGUAUGAAGAAACUGCGCGUCCUGCCCCGGAGCAACCCAAACAUUAUUCCUCAGGGCAGCGGCCAUAAAAGCAGAGGUGUAUGAAGUACUACCCUAUGUCGACGAUUGUGUCAGUGCAACAUGCUGGAACUGGAAACACAGGUCUUUGCUGUCCAGGCCUUUCAGCUGUGAAACUUCAUGACUGAGGAUCAAAGUCUUCUUAUAAAAUCCCUCCUCAAAACUAACUUUUAUCUCAUGGCCUUCUCCUAACUCACUGUAAUUUGUUAUAUUUGUUUUAAUCAUGAUAUCCUUUUACUUCCUAUAAUUCAAAUUCUUAUUUAUUUAUUUUGUUCUUCUGUUAAUCCUUGUUUUGCUGCAAAGCACUUUGUAAUGUUUUGGAAACAUGCAUUAUAAAUGCAUUUACAUUAUCACUAUUAUUAGAUAUUGUGUUUCUACUUCUACUAAUUGUUUAUGAUUACGUGAUAUUUUUCAGAUGCCACACAAUAGAAAUUCUUCAAAGCACUAAUGUUAUCCAAAUGAGCGUUCACCAAGAAAGUGCUCACAUAUUCAUAUUUUCAAAAAACUGAGACAUAUUCAAAUGACUGCUGAUCAUCCAAUUAGGGGCUGAUUGAUUGCAUGUCAUGUGCUGACCUUUCAGAGUGCAAUUUAAAUCCAUGGAUGUCUCAGCUCCAAGAGGAGCAACUGUCAUUCUUGGCCGUGGCUCUUCCUGCACAGCGAAUGUGAGCCGAGCCCUCCUCCAUAUCCCCCGUAUUAAAACCUCACAAUAUGCCCAACAACUGCACAGCGGAGGAGAGAGAAUGCACGGUAUGUGCUUACAGCAUCACAACUCCUCUCUCCUCUCACAUGGACUAAUAUGGCCAAGCCAAGAGGAGAUAGGAUAAUAAACACAUGCAGCACAUUGCUACUGUAAGCACAGUGUGCUUUGAUUU